GGCAGGGGGACUCGCUUGGCUUUCGUGCCAUCCGUGGACACAGUCGCGCGGGAGGAGAAGAUGACAGUGUUCUCCCUAAGGAUGAAGUUUGACUUUUGAAACAUAUCACAUGCUUAAAGCACAUUUGAGCUCCUGCAUGAACAGUAAGCUAGCAGAUGGUAGAAAUAUUCUUUAUUAAUUCAAAAAAUAUUUACUGCGGACCUACAAUGUGCCAAGCAUGUCUCCUGACACUGGGGAUAAGCAGUGAACAACAACAAAAAGACAAACUUCUUCCACCCUGAGGCGUAUGUUCUCGGUCUUUGUGGGAAGAAACAAAUCACAAAAGCAAUUAAGAGAGCUCAAACAAUGGGGUUUAUGCCAGUUACAUACAAGGAUCCUGCAUAUUUCAGGGACCCUAAAGUUUAUAACAUCAGAUAUCCGGAAUAAAUUCCAUCACAUUACCACCAGUAAACUUAUUUUAUAGUAAGUGGUUGUAUGACGCCAAUACUGACUCAAACCAACCUUUGGAUAGAAAAGUGUUUCAGGAGUGAGGUAAAGAAUGACACUUCCCCUUCAUACCAAUCAGUGUUCAUUAAGCAGAUCGCUUAUUUAAAAUGUUAACACUCAUCACAUUUUACAUAUGUUGAAUGAAAGUGGUUCUGGGUGAUAGUCAUUUAUAUCUGGUCCACAAAUAGCUCAUACAAUGUAGUACACCAUUCAACUGAAUGGAGUUAAAACUGCUCAGAAUGGUUUUCUAACUAGCAAAUGUAAGUAUGCCUGGUUAAGAGAUCUUCCCUUUGUAGGAAUGUUACACUGGGAUGCAUAGUGAUGCUGUCAC
rnacentral:lncRNA from 10 species